GACGAACGCUGGCGGCGUGCCUAAUACAUGCAAGUAGAACGCACAGGAUGCACCGUAGUUUACUACACCGUAUUCUGUGAGUUGCGAACGGGUGAGUAACGCGUAGGUAACCUGCCUGGUAGCGGGGGAUAACUAUUGGAAACGAUAGCUAAUACCGCAUAAGAACAUUUACUGCAUGGUAGAUGUUUAAAAGGUGCAAGAGCAUCACUACCAGAUGGACCUGCGUUGUAUUAGCUAGUUGGUAAGGUAACGGCUCACCAAGGCAACGAUACAUAGCCGACCUGAGAGGGUGAUCGGCCACACUGGGACUGAGACACGGCCCAGACUCCUACGGGAGGCAGCAGUAGGGAAUCUUCGGCAAUGGGGGGAACCCUGACCGAGCAACGCCGCGUGAGUGAAGAAGGUUUUCGGAUCGUAAAGCUCUGUUGUUAAGGAAGAACGUGUGUGAGAGUGGAAAGUUCACACAGUGACGGUACUUAACCAGAAAGGGACGGCUAACUACGUGCCAGCAGCCGCGGUAAUACGUAGGUCCCGAGCGUUGUCCGGAUUUAUUGGGCGUAAAGCGAGCGUAGGCGGUUAGAUAAGUCUGAAGUGAAAGGCAGUGGCUCAACCAUUGUAGGCUUUGGAAACUGUUUAACUUGAGUGCAGAAGGGGAGAGUGGAAUUCCAUGUGUAGCGGUGAAAUGCGUAGAUAUAUGGAGGAACACCGGUGGCGAAAGCGGCUCUCUGGUCUGUAACUGACGCUGAGGCUCGAAAGCGUGGGGAGCGAACAGG
rnacentral:rRNA from 1 species